rnacentral:tmRNA from 1 species
CUAUCCAAAUGUGUGUUAUAAUGUUACUGUACAAUUAGUACUAUAGUGAUAAACGGUUUGCGUAAUAGUCUUUAUGGACCAGGGGGCGGUACCCUGCGUCUCCACCAUGAUUAGUAUUAUAUAUAUGAUAUAUGUACAGUAUUGUAGUAUUGAGUACUAAAUAGUAAUUGGCAAUAUAUGAUUGUUAUUAGUAUUUACUAUCAUAUGUUCACACAGUAAUAUACGGGGACGAAAUAGGUUCGACAUAAAGAAAUAAAGGUUUAUCUUUCACUCGGCAUUGUAUCCGUCGUUAUCGGGCUAAAAAAUUAUAAAUGCCAAUAAAAAUGGUAUUGUCUCUCAGAGGAGAGCUGCAAAAAAUCAUAAUGUGAAAGUUGCUAACCGUAAUAUUAUGAUGAAUACACCUAUGAAAAAGGUUGUUAAUCGUUAAUUAAUUCUUUUUUAAGAUUAAUUAACUUAUUGCAGUGCUGUUAUGUUAAAAUAACAGUAACAUAGCGGUUUGGAGGGAACCGGGCAACAGAAUCCCUCC